AGAGUUUGAUCCUGGCUCAGAUUGAACGCUGGCGGAAUGCUUUACACAUGCAAGUCGAACGGCAGCACGGGUGCUUGCACCUGGUGGCGAGUGGCGAACGGGUGAGUAAUGCGUCGGAACGUACCGAGUAAUGGGGGAUAACGCAGCGAAAGUUGUGCUAAUACCGCAUACGCCCUGAGGGGGAAAGUGGGGGACCGCAAGGCCUCACGUUAUUCGAGCGGCCGACGUCUGAUUAGCUAGUUGGUGGGGUAAAGGCCUACCAAAGGCGAUCAGUAGCGGGUCUGAGAGGAUGAUCCGCCACACUGGGACUGAGACACGGCCCAGACUCCUACGGGAGGCAGCAGUGGGGAAUUUUGGACAAUGGGGGCAACCCUGAUCCAGCCAUUCCGCGUGAGUGAAGAAGGCCUUCGGGUUGUAAAGCUCUUUCAGCAGGAACGAAACGGUACGCUCUAACAUAGUGUGCUAAUGACGGUACCUGCAGAAGAAGCACCGGCUAACUACGUGCCAGCAGCCGCGGUAAUACGUAGGGUGCGAGCGUUAAUCGGAAUUACUGGCGUAAAGCGUGCGCAGGCGGAUUGUUAAGCAAGAUGUGAAAUCCCCGGGCUUAACCUGGGAAUGGCAUUUUGAACUGGCAGUCUAGAGUGUGUCAGAGGGGGUGGAAUUCCACGUGUAGCAGUGAAAUGCGCAGAGAUGUGGAGGAACACCAAUGGCGAAGGCAGCCCCCUGGGAUAACACUGACGCUCAUGUACGAAAGCGUGGGUAGCAAACAGGAUUAGAUACCCUGGUAGUCCACGCCCUAAACGAUGUCAACUGGUUGUUGGGGGAGUGAAAUCCCUUAGUAACGAAGCUAACGCGUGAAGUUGACCGCCUGGGGAGUACGGUCGCAAGAUUAAAACUCAAAGGAAUUGACGGGGACCCGCACAAGCGGUGGAUGAUGUGGAUUAAUUCGAUGCAACGCGAAAAACCUUACCUACCCUUGACAUGUCCGGAAUCCUGAAGAGAUUUGGGAGUGCUCGAAAGAGAACCGGAACACAGGUGCUGCAUGGCUGUCGUCAGCUCGUGUCGUGAGAUGUUGGGUUAAGUCCCGCAACGAGCGCAACCCUUAUCAUUAGUUGCUACGCAAGGGCACUCUAAUGAGACUGCCGGUGACAAACCGGAGGAAGGUGGGGAUGACGUCAAGUCCUCAUGGCCCUUAUGGGUAGGGCUUCACACGUCAUACAAUGGUCGGUACAGAGGGUUGCCAAGCCGCGAGGUGGAGCCAAUCCCAGAAAGCCGAUCGUAGUC
rnacentral:rRNA from 1 species